GUGUGACUGGUGCUACGUAUGGGGAGGGCCAACUUAGCUUACGAGCAAGAAUGGGGUAGCUAACAACUCGCCGCUUUGGCACUCAUGCUCGGGGAAGUGGUAACUUCGCCCAGCUGAAUGUGAUCAGAUUAAUGUACUGAAACUGGAUGCAGGAAUUACACAAAAUGCACAAAUUAAGACAAUCAAGUAAUUUUAUUCACACAGAAGUACUUCAACAUAAUGCAAUUAUUUAUCUGAAAACUGUGCUAGGAUAGAAUACGGAGAGUUAAGCACUCUGCUUGUCCCCUAAGAACUUAACCUCAAAACUUCUUUCAAACACUUGGUAGACAUGCUUUUGUCAAUAAUCCAUUUAGGAAGGUAGCCUUAACGUACCUCAACUUUCGACUGAAACUUGCGUUUUUAACUUCCCAGAUAUCCGUCAAAUGCCGAAAUCUACAACCAUCAGGCCUGAACACAUCAACACAAGAUAGUUCAAUAUUUCUUGAAAAUCUCAAAUUUUCAUGCUAGGGUUGCGUUUUAAUCAAUUUAAGUCUGAAGUUAUCCACUAGAAUUAUUCCAUCAAAUUUUGACUAAUUCCUAAUUUCCUAUUUCCAUUCAUGGCUUCUUUCAGUUCCACAAGUAAACUACUACAAAAAAUAUUGAGCUUUAUGAUUUCAUACUAUCCCAAUAAUACCAAUUUGUCAGUUCAAGAUAGUGGGUUUACUUUUGGAAGCAAUUCCUCAAACCCUACCCUUUAACUUAAAGGGUUCUUGUUGACAUUUCCGGUAAUGUAACUAUUCAUAAGUUAAACUAGUGUUAAUUGACCCAAAUUAACUCAAACUCUGCUGGAAUUAUUACCUUGGAUAAUGUAAGUAAGCAGUUUGUUUUUGCCUUCAAAAGCUCUUUAAAUGCUGAAGAAGUGGGUUUUUUCUCCCUCUAACUGACCGUAUUUAUACUUUCUGAUUGACGGACACGCUGAAAACAAGUCUGAGUUUUCGCCCCCAUGGAGCGCCGGUUCCUGCCGCCUUGGCCAAUCAAACACACUCUCCUAUCCUCUCUCAUUCCCUUGGCUCACCCUUCUCUCUGUGUAUAUGUAUUUUAGA
rnacentral:lncRNA from 1 species